UUUCAUGGAAGAAGUAGGUCUGAAGGAGGACAGGAAUUUUGUCUUCUUGUAUGGAUCUGCGAAGUACCACGUACCCCUGUGAUGCUCAGGGAGGAGCCAGGG